GAUUAAAAACCAAUAACUGUAACAUAUGAGCAAUUUGCUGGUCAUCUUUGAGAUUCUUACUGAAGACAUUCCAAUGUUGCAGGCACUAAAGCAGUUACCUCGGGAAAAGGUUGAGUUAGCUACAAAGUUUGGAGUAGCUGGAAUUUCUCCCACAGAAGUUAUAGUGAAAGGUUCGCCUGAAUAUGCCCGUUCUUGCUGUGAGGAUAGUUUGAAGCGUCUUGGUGUGGAUUAUAUUGAUCUCUACUACAUACAUCGAAUUGAUACGACUGUGCCUAUUGAAGAGACAGUGAGUUUUUUUAUAUGCUUUUAUUUGGUCAUAUAUAUUUAUUUUGAUUAAUGGCCAUAACCACAUUUUCUCUUGUAUUUGUUUUUCUUAACACGCUCUCGAAUUUACUUACAUGUUACUUCACGUUGAUAAGACUUUUUUUAUGUUGCAGAUGGGAGAACUUAAAAAGCUUGUCGAAGAAGGAAAAAUAAGAUAUAUUGGGUUAUCUGAAGCUAGCCCAGACACAAUAAGAAGGGCUCAUGCUGUUCAUCCCAUUAGUGCUCUACAAGUAGAAUAUUCCCUCUGGACUCGUGACAUCGAAGAAGAUAUAAUUCCAGUCUGCAGGUUUCCCUUAGUUCUCAAAUGCUUCUAUUAUAGUUUCACUUGUUCAAAAUAUUACAUUUUCAACUAAUACUUUGACAAAUUGCAAUUUAAGUGGGAACUUGAAAGCAUAUGUUUGAAUUUCAAAUUGGCUUUUUUUAGUACAUAAAGUUAGUACAUGAUGUCAUUUUCCUUAUAAGAUUAACAUUGCAAUGUUUAGCUCUAAUUUUCUAGUAUAAUAGUUCACGUUUGUAUACUUUUCUUCUUGAUAUAAACUUUUUUUAUUGGGUUAAACUAUCAUCACACUUAGUGUUUUGAACAUAUUUAUAAAAGAAGUGUUUCCUUUUCUCAAUCAAUGUUAUUCAAUUUCCUAAUUUAGCUUCUUCUAUUAUUGUUCCCCGGUCGAUACUCUGUCCACUAUUAUGCUGCAUGUGUACUUUUUCAUCUUAUUGUUGUCCUUCUUGUGCAGUAGGUAUGUUUUUACGUAGGAUUUAUUUUCGUUUUCAUUUUGGAAUGGAUGAUUAGGGAACUUGGGAUCGGAAUAGUUCCAUAUAGUCCAGUAGGCAGAGGGUUUUUUGCUGGGAAGGCUAUAGUGGAAAAGGUGCCUCAAAAUAGUUCAUUGGUAUGUGUGCAUCUCUUAUCUAUUAAUUUUUAUUGUGUAAUUUCUUCUUUUGAAACCAAGAUGAUUUAGUAGUCUCUUCAAUUCAGUUGUAUUAGCUGAACAUUGCCUAAUUAUCGUGCCUAUAGGAACAUCACCCAAGGUUUAAGGGAGAUAACUUUGAGAAGAACAAGGCCAUUUAUUUUCGUAUUGAAAAGUUAGCUAAGAAGCAUGGAUGCACUCCUGCUCAACUUGCGCUCGCAUGGGUUCUUCAUCAAGGAGAUGACGUUGUACCUAUUCCAGGUAAGUCCGUUCAUAUAAGAAGCUUACUUUAAAUAAGUAGUUUUCACAGGACUUCAGCAGUUUGUUAUAACUGGAAAAUUGUGAUAUUUGUCGAUGUUGUAACUCACGUAGCAAUGGAAGAUGACUGACUCAAAUGUUUAUUGUUAUAUUGAUCUCAUGAAUUGUUUAAGAAUUAGCAGUAAAUCAAUCUUGUAAUAUUUACAGGAACCACAAAAAUAAAAAAUCUUCAUGAAAAUAUUGGUUCCGUGAAAGUGAAGCUUACAAAAGAUGAUUUGAAAGAGAUAUCCGAUGCAGUUCCCAUCGAUGAGGUGGCAGGGACCAAAACUCAUUCGGAGGCCCUUGAAAAGAGCUCUUGGAGAUUUGCAUAUACACCACUGCCAAAAUGAGCACAGCAGAACCGGAAAAUAUUUUUAUCUUAAUGUCUUGAAAGAACGUGUGCUUUUUGGGGAUAGUUCUAGCAAUUUCAUGUACUUCGUAUAACUCUUUCUCGGGUCAAUAAUUUCAGUACUGUGUUUCUUGAGUUUAAAGUCUGUCCUUUAUGCUUAAUGCCUAAAUUUUGUAAGGUAUUCUCUAAGGUUUUGAAGAACAUAGAACACAUAUCCCAGCUACAAUAUCAGUAUUUUAGUUUGUGAUCAUGUUUCCUCCUUUAUCGUUGUGGCGUGAUAUAUUACAAAUUAUGUUUAUUAAUUUUACUUUGGGCCAACUCUUUGGAAGAUGUUAGUAGAUGUAUCAAGGAAUUGAAUUUUUUUUUAACAUGAUAUCAAAUUUGAGAAUUACCAAAUCUCAGAACUCAA
rnacentral:lncRNA from 1 species